rnacentral:rRNA from 1 species
AGGGUUCGAUUCUGGCUCAGGAUGAACGCUGGCGGCGUGCUUAACACAUGCAAGUCGAACGGAGUUUUUAAACGGAAGUUUUCGGAUGGAAGUUUAGAAACUUAGUGGCGGACGGGUGAGUAACGCGUGGGUAACCUGCCUCAUACAGGGGGAUAACAGUUAGAAAUGACUGCUAACACCGCAUAAUAUAGCGAAACCGCAUGAUUUUUGCUAUCAAAUAUUUAUAGGUAUGAGAUGGGCCCGCGUCUGAUUAGCUAGUUGGUGGGGUAAAAGCCUACCAAGGCGACGAUCAGUAGCCGGCUUGAGAGAGUGACCGGCCACAUUGGGACUGAGACACGGCCCAAACUCCUACGGGAGGCAGCAGUGGGGAAUAUUGGACAAUGGGGGAAACCCUGAUCCAGCGAACCGCCGCGUGAGUGAAGAAGUAUUUCGGUAUGUAAAGCUCUAUCAGCAGGGAAGAUAAUGACAGUACCUGACUAAGAAGCCCCGGCUAACUACGUGCCAGCAGCCGC